AAACGGAAACCGGUGCGAAUCCGGUACAGGCGCGCUGCCGUGUUCGGGCAUGCCGCCCGCGUCCACCUCCACCGCAUCCGGCGCCCCCCUGCCCGCACGGGCAACGGGCUGCCGGCGCGGCACACGGGAAGGACGCGGGCCACGGCUUUGGACCGCGCGAGGCCCCUCGCAAGGGUGUUCGCGUGGUCACGAGGCCUCUCACCCACCGCCCGUCAGUCGGAAGACGU
rnacentral:ncRNA from 1 species